rnacentral:rRNA from 1 species
CAGCCGCCACGGUAAUACGUAGGGUGCGAGCGUUAAUCAGAAUUACUGGGCGUAAAGCGUGCGCAGGCGGUUCGUUAAGACAGAUGUGAAAUCCCCGGGCUUAACCUGGGAACUGCAUUUGUGACUGGCGAGCUAGAGUAUGGCAGAGGGGGGUAGAAUUCACGUGUAGCAGUGAAAUGCGUAGAGAUGCGGAGGAAUACCGAUGGCGAAGGCAGCCCCCUGGGCCAAUACUGACGCUCAUGCACGAAAGCGUGGGGAGCAAACAGGAUUAGAUACCCGUGUAGUCCCUGUCUCUUAUACC